AAAAAAAAAAAAACUUAUGUAAUAGUAAAAAUUUUCCAGAAUAAAUAAUUUAUACAAAAAAAUAAUUUGUAUAACAAUUAAGGAAAAUUAUCCUUAAAGUGUAUGUAAUAAAAUGGGUGCAGUAGGUGAUAUGUUAUUUUCGAGUAAAGAGUGUUUGGAAAACAAAAAAAAUAGUAGAAGUGUAUUAUUAUCACUAAUUGAAGAAAAAGACAAUAAUUAUAUACAACAUCAAAGUUGUAUUUCCUAUGUUAUGUCAUUACUUCCAUUUUUAUUAAUAUGUUUAAUUCAUUUUUUAAUAAGAAUACAUGGAUAUUAUAUUGGUGAUUUAUUUUUAAUUAUAUGUUAUUUAUGUUCUUUUUUUUUUUUUAUAUUAUGUUAUUACGAUUCAUAUAUUAUAUAUGUUUUAUUUGUUUUAUUUUCUUAUAUAAUAUCAUUAUGUUUACAUGAAUUUGCACAUGCGUAUGCUGCUUACAAAUAUGGUGAUAUUACAAUGGUAUAUAAAGGUUAUUUAUAUUUAGAUAUUUUUAAUUAUUUAGAUAUUUUCCAUACUUUAAUUAUACCAAUAAUAACACUUUUAAUAACAGGGUUUGGUCUUCCUGGGAAUUUAUAUUGGCUACAAGUACAUUUUAUACGAAGCAAAUUUCAUUUAUCUUUAAUUUAUUUAUCAGGUCCCAUCUCUGACAUUUUAUAUAUUUUAUUAUUAGUAUCAUUUUAUACCUUUUAUACUUAUUUAAAAAAUAAUAAAAAUUUAAAUGUUCAACAUAGGUCUAUCAUAUUUAUAUCAAUAGCAACUACUGUAGCUUUCCUAGUGGAAUCAUUUAUUUUGAAUUUGUGUCCUAUUUUGGGUUUUGAUGGGUGGGGAAUCAUUGAGCCGUAUUUGCCGUUCUUUUUGAAUAACUUAAUCAACGAAGAAAUUGUCUACACCUAUUUGUCUUAUAUUUUUCCACUAAUCAUUUUUAUAUACUUUAAUUUUUUGGAAUCAAAAUAUCUUUUUUUUACUAAAAUAACUAAUUAUAUACUAAAAAAAAUAUUGAGAAUUGAUGUAUCCCAUAUUACGAAAGGGGUGGAAUAUUUUCCGACUUUAUAUUCUUACCUCAAAAAUACAU
rnacentral:lncRNA from 1 species